UACGUAGGAGGCGAGCGUUGUCCGGAAUUACUGGGCGUAAAGCGCGUGUAGGCGGUCUGAAUAGUCUGCUGUGAAAGCGCCUGGCUUAACCGGGCGAGGUCGGCGGAAACUCUCAGACUGGAGGCCGGUAGAGGGGGGUGGAAUUCCCGGUGUAGUGGUGAAAGUGCGUAGAGAUCGGGAGGAACACCUGUGGCGAAGGCGGCCCCCUGGGCCAAUACUGACGCUCAUGCCACGAAAGCGUGGGGAGCAAACAGG
rnacentral:rRNA from 1 species